GCCGUAACUCUCAAGCAGCUGUACUGGAGAAAAGAUGCCUGACUCGUGUGCAGCUUGGGGCUGUACAAACUGUCGCACAAUCCAAACCAGGUCUCGGGGAAUUACCUCUCAUAGCCAGUGGCAACUGGGACAACACAAGCCUCAAGGAAGGCUGAAGAGAGCCUGUUAGUGGACUAUUCUCUAAAUUUCUAAGAGACUGUACCCCCUCUGCCUAAUAUUGACCACUCUUAUGCAUUGCCUGCAUCUCCCACUGGUCUAAAGGCCAGACUCCGUGAAGCCUUGGUUAGGGUGGAGAGUCUGGAGCAAGAGUUGAGGAAUGAGAAAGACUGAGAAUGGAGGGCAAAGAACACAGUGCAUGAUCUUCUAGAGGAUCUGAAGAGGAAGAACCUCAUAAAU